GAUCCUGGCUCAGGACGAACGCUGGCGGCGUGCCUAAUACAUGCAAGUAGAACGCUGAAGGAGGAGCUUGCUUCUCUGGAUGAGUUGCGAACGGGUGAGUAACGCGUAGGUAACCUGCCUGGUAGUGGGGGAUAACUAUUGGAAACGAUAGCUAAUACCGCAUAAUAGCAGUUGUUGCAUGAUAACUGUUUGAAAGGUGCAAUUGCACCGCUACCAGAUGGACCUGCGUUGUA
rnacentral:rRNA from 1 species